CGUCUCUCCGCCAGCCCGGGGCUAACCGGGAACCGAGAGGGUGUCCUGAACCUCCGUUUUCAAACGGCGUGGAUUCGGACCCGCGUCCUCCUUACGCUCUGACACCGCCGUGACACGCGCUGCUGCUGUAAAAUCGGGAGCAAGGACAGUGGCGCCGCGAUGAUGCAGCGAUUCAGCCCAGUGGACAGAAAACUCUUGAAUUUCAGACUCCACAGUGAAGCAUACAGCAAUGUCACUGGGCUUGUUUAUGCCUGACCAGAACGUAAUGGCUGUGAUACACAGAGUUACCAGGUUGAGGCACUAAAGAAAAUGUUUUCUCACAGACCAAUGGUACUGUAAUUGUUGUGCUUAAGAAACCACGUGGAUCUCUACCACAUAACUGAAGAACUGAUGGAAACCGGAGACAUGAAGAUGUCUAAUCAACUGGCUUGUUUUAUAGGCAUUAGGGGCAUCUUAUUUCAAGAAGAAACCCAUCCUGAUGCAAUUUAAAUCCAUCUUGUCUUGUUUAAGCUUCAAAAAAGAGAAAACUGUACCAGGUUUCCUCUGAAUAUUUCUUGACUUGUUUUUCUCCAUCUGUAUUCAGUCACCAUCUUUCCAUGAUCCCACUGGCUGUGUUUCAUGCUACUUACGGCAUGGGAAGAGCUUAUAAAACUCAUAUUGUUAGAAAUAAAAGAAAUCCUUUAACAAUUGCCAUAGU